rnacentral:sRNA from 1 species
GGAUGCUCUUUCACAUGACACAUGUCUACCUCUCGUAAACAUGCCUAUCAUGCUGUUAUAUGCCUUCUGGUGAUCGGAGCAUCGGUUGGGCUGAUACCCGGAAAUCGGCAAAGGAACACAUAUUGAAGACUCCGAAAAUGACAGACAUCAGACAUGCUCAUCUCAUUCUCAAGCGCGGUAUCUUUAAACCCAGACGCUAGAUAAGCUAUCGGAGUCCUUGGCCUUGGCUUUGCCUUUAUCCUCUGGGUUCCAAUCAUUUUAUUAGACUUUUAAAAGAAAUAAAAAUAAACAAGUUCACAAAAGGAAGUAACAAGGGUAUGCUGAAGGAUCAACAGGGAAGGAAGGAUUCUGUUAAGGAAAAACAGUGUGAGCGUUUGCAUCUGCUUGACAUCGUGAAUGUAAUGACAUAUAACAAC